UGGGGAAUAUUGCACAAUGGGCGCAAGCCUGAUGCAGCCAUGCCGCGUGUAUGAAGAAGGCCUUCGGGUUGUAAAGUACUUUCAGCGGGGAGGAAGGGAGUAAAGUUAAUACCUUUGCUCAUUGACGUUACCCGCAGAAGAAGCACCGGCUAACUCCGUGCCAGCAGCCGCGGUAAUACGGAGGGUGCAAGCGUUAAUCGGAAUUACUGGGCGUAAAGCGCACGCAGGCGGUUUGUUAAGUCAGAUGUGAAAUCCCCGGGCUCAACCUGGGAACUGCAUCUGAUACUGGCAAGCUUGAGUCUCGUAGAGGGGGGUAGAAUUCCAGGUGUAGCGGUGAAAUGCGUAGAGAUCUGGAUGAAUACCGGUGGCGAAGGCGGCCCCCUGGACGAAGACUGACGCUCAGGUGCGAAAGCGUCGGGAGCAAACAGG
rnacentral:rRNA from 1 species